AGAAAAGAACAAACAUCCCAGAAGUAUACUUUUCUGUCCCAUACAUUGAAGAAAUAUUAUUCAUAUUCAAAGUUCUCUGGGCAUCACACAAAAAUUAAAACAUAUUACAGUAAAACAAUGUAAUAUGGCAACUAGUUCCAGUUCUCCUGGGACAGUUCUUCAAGACAUUCCCUGUAGGACAACUUAGUGGAUUUGUAUUUCCUGGCAAUGCACCAAGCUAAAUUAGGAAUAGCACUGAGCUGCAAGGACUACAAAAAGCUAACAUUAGAUCUCUGAUAUGGAAAACUACCCAAUUUCACUAUAAAUGAACUUCUUACUUGGAGAGUUAAGAAAAUGAGACAUCAGGAGAUGCCAGAUAUCUUGUAAACAGUUUGGUCUCCACUGCUUAAUGCCUUACCAAAUUUGCAUCUCUCUAACUGGCCCAAUACCAAGAUUUCCAUCACUUGGAAUUCCUCCAUUUAUGCUACACAUCAUCUGGAUUAGCUACCCAUGCUUUGGUAUGUUGAUUGUGGAAGAAGAAUUUUCCUGCCACCUAUCCGCUGCUGCUUGCCACCUGGAUUGCUGCUUUAACUCAAACUCAGCUCUGCAGCCCAGACCUCACUCUCCCUCAGCUGAGCCAACUAACUUGCUAUAGACUGUAACUUUGUUCCUGAUGUGAAAAGUAGCAUUUUCCCCCAUUUGUGUAAAUCUCCUUUUACCUGUUGGAUACUUUACCAGACCCGGAGACUCAUUGUGGUAGCAAACUCCACUAUCAAAGUCCUUCUAUACCUCUGAUGGUGAGAUCCAUGUGCUCCUGGCUAAAGUAAGCUCACUCAGUUCUCUCAGCUAGGUUUGUGUGGAUAAUUGUCAACAUGACCUCAGUUGAUCCUUGUUGAUUUAUAAAAAGCUGCAGUUACAACCUUUCUCUUUCUGGUUUAAUCCUGCACAUGUGCAGUGAAUCUCUGAGAGACAGAGAUCUCUCCCAGAGCUAGCCCACUGCUGCACUGCCUUUAACUGUGUACUCAUUGCCUUUUUGAUACUGACAAUCAGCUUAUUCCUAUCAGAAUUAAUAUUUUGCUAUUUUAAUGACUUUUAAAAGAUUUCCUUGUAUUUUAAUAAAGUAUUUUCAUUGGUU
ensembl:lncRNA